rnacentral:rRNA from 1 species
GACGAACGCUGGCGGCGUGCCUAAUACAUGCAAGUUGAGCGAUGAAGAUUGGUGCUUGCACCAAUUUGAAGAGCAGCGAACGGGUGAGUAACGCGUGGGGAAUCUGCCUUUGAGCGGGGGACAACAUUUGGAAACGAAUGCUAAUACCGCAUAACAACUUUAAACAUAAGUUUUAAGUUUGAAAGAUGCAAUUGCAUCACUCAAAGAUGAUCCCGCGUUGUAUUAGCUAGUUGGUGAGGUAAAGGCUCACCAAGGCGAUGAUACAUAGCCGACCUGAGAGGGUGAUCGGCCACAUUGGGACUGAGACACGGCCCAAACUCCUACGGGAGGCAGCAGUAGGGAAUCUUCGGCAAUGGACGAAAGUCUGACCGAGCAACGCCGCGUGAGUGAAGAAGGUUUUCGGAUCGUAAAACUCUGUUGGUAGAGAAGAACGUUGGUGAGAGUGGAAAGCUCAUCAAGUGACGGUAACUUCCCAGAAAGGGACGGCUAACUACGUG